CCAACAGGGAUUGCCUCAGUAACGGCGAGUGAAGCGGCAACAGCUCAGAUUUGAAACCUGGCCCCAGGCCCGGAUUGUAAUCUGUAGAAGGUGCCUCGGGCGCGACACCGGUCCAAGUUCCUUGGAACGGGGCGUCAUAGAGGGUGAGAAUCCCGUACGCGGCCGGACGUCAAGCCCGUGCGAGGCCCUUUCGACGAGUCGAGUUGUUUGGGAAUGCAGCUCUAAAUGGGUGGUAAAUUUCAUCUAAAGCUAAAUACCGGCCAGAGACCGAUAGCGCACAAGUAGAGUGAUCGAAAGAUGAAAAGCACUUUGAAAAGAGAGUCAAAAAGUACGUGAAAUUGUUGAAAGGGAAGCGCUUGCAACCAGACUCGCGCGCGGGUGUUCAGUCGUCCCUCGGGGCGGCGCGCUCACUCGUGCCCGGGCCAGCAUCGGUUCGGGCGGCCGGAUAAAGGUCUCGGGAAUGUAGUUCUCUUCGGGGAAUGUUAUAGCCCGGGGCGUAAUGCGGCCAGCCCGGACCGAGGACCGCGCUUCUGCUAGGAUGCUGGCGUAAUGGUUGCCAGCGACCCGUCUUGAAACACGGACCAAGGAGUCGACCAACCGCGCGAGUGUUUGGGCGUAAAACCCAUGCGCGUAAUGAAAGUGAAAAUGGUAUGAGCUUCGGCGCAAUAUCGACCGAUCUUGAAAUUUAUGGAUGGAUUUGAGUAUGAGCGAAGUUGGUCGGACCCGAAAGAUGGUGAGCUAUGCGCGAAUAGGGUGAAGCCAGAGGAAACUCUGGUGGAGGCUCGCAGCGGUUCUGACGUGCAAAUCGAUCGUCAAAUUUGCGUAUAGGGGCGAAAGACUAAUCGAACCAUCGGGAACUUGGGAUCACUAGGUGGUUAAUCGACGAGUUUCCGGUGCCACGCGCCGGGGGCGACAUCGCUAUUCGCAUGAAUCUCUUCCCGUUCGAAGUGAGACAUGUACCGAAGCUUCCACCCGGGAGCUUCGAUCACAGACCAGAUGGCGGUGGCCUGCUCGCAGGUUCUAACAUGGUCGAGCCCCUCCCCUCCAAGGGGAGAUUUGGAACAGCGCUAGUAGCUGGUUCCUGUCGAAGUUUCCCUCAGGAUAGCAGCAACGAAAACAGUCUCAUGAGGUAGAGCGAACGAUUAGAGGCCUGGGGGCAGAAACUGCCUUCACCUAUUCUCGAACUUCGAAUAUGUGAGAAGUCCUUGUUACUUAGUUGAACGUGGACAUUUGGAUGAAUCGUUGCUAGUGGGCCAUUUUUGGUAAGCAGAACUGGCGAUGCGGGAUGAACCGAACGGGAUUUUACGGUGCCGGAAUGUACGCUCAUCAGACACCACAAAAGGUGUUAGUUCAUCUAGACAGCCGGACGGUGGCCAUGGAAGUCGGAAUCCGCUAAGGAGUGUGUAACAACUCACCGGCCGAAUGAACUAGCCCUGAAAAUGGAUGGCGCUCAAGCGUGCUACCUAUAAAUCCCCGCCAGGGUAGAAACGAUGCCCUGGCGAGUAGGCAGGCGUGGAGGUCCGUGACGAAGCCUCGGGGGUGACCCUGGGUCGAACGGC
rnacentral:rRNA from 1 species